GCAGGAAGGCGCAGUUGGCUAGCGUUUAGGUCUCAUAGCGUGGAAAGUGAGUUAUCCUGAGGUCGAGAGUUCGAACCUCUCUCUCA
rnacentral:tRNA from 1 species